UACGAAGGGUGCAAGCGUUAAUCGGAAUUACUGGGCGUAAAGGGUGCGUAGGCGGUUCGUUAAGUCUGUCGUGAAAUCCCCGGGCUCAACCUGGGAAUGGCGAUGGAUACUGGCGAUCUGGAGUGCGGUAGAGGGUGGCGGAAUUCCCGGUGUAGCAGUGAAAUGCGUAGAUAUCGGGAGGAACAUCCGUGGCGAAGGCGGCCACCUGGACCAGCACUGACACUGAGGCACGAAAGCGUGGGGAGCAAACAGG
rnacentral:rRNA from 1 species